CUCCAGACUCCUACGGGAGGCAGCAGUGGGGGAUAUUGCACAAUGGGGGAAACCCUGAUGCAGCGACGCCGCGUGGGCGAAGAAGUAUUUCGGUAUGUAAAGCCCUAUCAGCAGGGAAGAAGAAAUGACGGUACCUGAGUAAGAAGCACCAGCUAAAUACGUGCCAGCAGCCGCGGUAAUACGUAGGGGGCAAGCGUUAUCCGGAUUUACUGGGUGUAAAGGGGGCGCAGACGGCAGCGCAAGCCAGGAGUGAAAGCCCGGGGCCCAACCCCGGGACUGCUCUUGGAACUGCGCGGCUGGAGUGCAGGAGGGGCAGGCGGAAUUCCUAGUGUAGCGGUGAAAUGCGUAGAUAUUAGGAGGAACACCAGUGGCGAAGGCGGCCUGCUGGACGACAACUGACGGUGAGGCGCGAAAGCGUGGGGAGCAAACAGGAUUAGAUACCCUAGUA
rnacentral:rRNA from 1 species